GGUUCGUUUUCCUGCACAAUCGGGACUGUGCAAUCAAGACAAACAGCUGCAAAACCCAUGGAGGCACUGUGGAUUGCAGUCUCAGGAUCCAAUUGGCAUUUUCUGGGACGGAUAAGCACCUAUCCAUUCUGAACUCAUGGUUGCUUUUCAUAUAUCCAGUGCAAGGAUUAGCUGGAGACAACGAAGAAGGAUCGACAGAUAAACGAUUGGGUUUUUGUAUUUCUGGGUCUGGAUGCUCUGGAUCUGCUCAAUAGCAUCGCUCAAUCUCCAUAUGACCAAGACAAGUUCCGCCUCAUGAAUUCAUUGUGAGAAUGCAUCCUCAAUAAGGUCACCCAAUCCCUCUUUCUCUCUUAAUUCACACUCGUUUCUGUGAAUCUGUGCUUGGUUUGUUUCUAAUUGAAUUUGAUAUCUGUGAGAAACCCAGUAAUUUGAUUAAACUAGUGACACAGAAUUGGGUAUGUUCUUGGGUUAUGAGUUGGAAUUUUAUAUAUUUUGAGUGUAUUUGAUUGCAGAAGGGCUGAAACCCAGAUUGAGAUUUGUUCAAGGCCAAAUAUUUAUGCUUAUAUUUUGCCUUGGAAAGUUUAAAGCUUGAUUUAGAUUCAUGAAGUUGAUAUGAUAUGUGUGCCUAUUUCUGUACUGGUAAUAACCAAUUUUAUCAUGGAUCGAAUUGCUUCGUGGUUCCAGUUUGUUACUGUGUAAUGUCCUACUUAACCUGGAUUAUGGCUUGCAUAGUCCAGGUACAAGCUUUGCUGCUGUGAAGUUAUCAAAGGAUCAAGCACCAAAGAAUUAAUGACAUGUUUAGGAAGAAGAGACUGGAUGACGUGUGUCACGGUAAAGUAGUAGUGGAUGCGAAGGUGGUCAACAAAGGCGAUACUCCAAAUUUGAUGUAGAGCAGGACACAAGUUAGAAGCUGCCAUUGAACAACUAGGUAUCAAUGUUUCUGCAAAGUAGCUCUUGACUAGGGUUAUCAAUCAGCGGAUUUAUCAACUGUUUACUUCAGUGUGGUGUAACUUUUGUUUAUGGAGUUGAUGUUGUAUAUGGAUAGUUUUACAGGCAAGUGAUCAAGUUGAUUUGUUCCUCUUACCAGGAGUAGCAUUUGACAGACCUGGGAGACGUUUGGCUUGCGACAGAGGCAAAUCUUGCUCAAGUGAGGGAGGCAAAUCAAGGCAGAUCAAGCAGAAAGACAAGAAAUGCAACUUGCAGAGCGAGUUGAUGGCUGCAAAGUCCACUGCAGCUCAGCAAUGAGGAGUUAGAAAUCGUCAAAGCUGGUGCAGCUCAGCAAAUUGAAGAGUUAGAGGCAGUGAAGGCUAAAGCCGCUGCACAAAAUGAAGAGUUUGGAGGCACUAAAGGCAAGACAAAAUCAUACUGACAUACUUUUACUUAAAUUGAUGCGUUAUCCUCCCAAAACUGAUGAUUGGUCUAAGCUUCAAAAAAGUACAUCUUGCAAACUAUCAUUGAAGGCUUAUGGAACUUCUAGAAAGACUUGUAUGUAUUCCGAUUUAUUUUGAAAUUGCUAUUAAGGAUGGAUAUUGACAUUUGUUUAUUUUGGAUAUGCAAAUGUAAUAGAGAUACGUGUCUUAUAUUGUAUUGGAAUUGAGUAGUUUAAUAUUGA